rnacentral:rRNA from 1 species
GGCGGCAAUAGCGCGGUGGUCCCACCUGACCCCAUGCCGAACUCAGAAGUGAAACGCCGUAGCGCCGAUGGUAGUGUGGGGUCUCCCCAUGCGAGAGUAGGACACUGCC